rnacentral:rRNA from 1 species
GGGAUUGCCCUAGUAACGGCGAGUGAAGCGGCAACAGCUCAAAUUUGAAAUCUGGCCUUCGGGUCCGAGUUGUAAUUUGUAGAGGAUGCUUUUGGCGCGGUGCCUUCCGAGUUCCCUGGAAUGGGACGCCUUAGAGGGUGAGAGCCCCGUAUGGUUGGACACCAAGCCUCUGUAAAGCUCCUUCGACGAGUCGAGUAGUUUGGGAAUGCUGCUCUAAAUGGGAGGUAAAUUUCUUCUAAAGCUAAAUAUUGGCCAGAGACCGAUAGCGCACAAGUAGAGUGAUCGAAAGAUGAAAAGCACUUUGAAAAGAGGGUUAAAUAGCACGUGAAAUUGUUGAAAGGGAAGCGUUUGCGACCAGACCUUUUCGUAGCGGAUCAUCCGGUGUUCUCACCGGUGCACUUCGCUUCGUUUAGGCCAGCAUCGGUUUCUGUAGGGGGAUAAAAGCUUGGGGAACGUAGCUCCCUCGGGAGUGUUAUAGCCCCUCGCAUAAUACCCUUACGGGGACCGAGGACCGCGCUUUAUGCAAGGAUGCUGGCGUAAUGGUCGUCAACGACCCGUCUUGAAACACGGACCAAGGAGUCGAACAUUUAUGCGAGUGUUUGGGUGUUAAACCCUCACGCGUAAUGAAAGUGAACGGAGGUGAGAGCCCUUACGGGUGCAUCAUCGACCGAUCCUGAUGUCUUCGGAUGGAUUUGAGUAAGAGCAUAACUGUUCGGACCCGAAAGAUGGUGAACUAUGCGUGGAUAGGGUGAAGCCAGAGGAAACUCUGGUGGAGGCUCGCAGCGGUUCUGACGUGCAAAUCGAUCGUCAAAUCUGCGCAUGGGGGCGAAAGACUUAUCGAACCAUCUAGUAGCUGGUUACCGCCGAAGUUUCCCUCAKGAUAGCAGUGUUGUUCUUCAGUUUUAUGAGGUAAAGCGAAUGAUUAGGGACUCGGGGGCGCUUUUUAGCCUUCAUCCAUUCUCAAACUUUAAAUAUGUAAGAAGCCCUUGUUACUUAAUUGAACGUGGGCAUUCGAAUGUACCAACACUAGUGGGCCAUUUUUGGUAAGCAGAACUGGCGAUGCGGGAUGAACCGAACGCGGGGUUAAGGUGCCGGAGUGGACGCUCAUCAGACACCACAAAAGGUGUUAGCACAUUUAGACAAUAGGACGGUGGCCAUGGAAGUCGGAAUCCGCUAAGGACUGUGUAACAACUCACCUAUCGAAUGUGCUAGCCCUGAAAAUGGAUGGCGCUCAAGCGUCCCACCCAUACCUCGCCCUCAGGGUAGAAACGAUGCCCUGAGGAGUAGGCGGCCGUGGGGGUCAGUGACGAAGCCUAGGGCGGAGCCUUGUUUGUGUUU